rnacentral:rRNA from 1 species
ACCUGCCCUAUGAUUAAAAAUUAAAUGGCUGCGGUAUUUUGACCGUGCAAAGGUAGCAUAAUCAUUAGUUUUUUAAUUGGGAACUGGUAUGAAAGGUCGAACGAAAAAGAGACUGUCUCAAUUUAAUUUAAAUUAGAAUUUUAUUUUUAAGUAAAAAAGCUUAAAUAUAUUUAAAAGACGAGAAGACCCUAUAGAGUUUUAUAUUUAGAUAGUUAUAUAGGAAAUUAAAGGAUUAGUUUUUUUUUAUAAUUAUUAAGAUAUUUGGUUGGGGCGAUUAAAAAAUUUAAUAAACUUUUUUUAAAUUAUAACAUUGAUUUAUGAAUAAGUGAUCCAUAUUUAAUGAUUAUAAGAUCA